rnacentral:rRNA from 1 species
AGAGUUUGAUCCUGGCUCAGAACGAACGUUGGCGGCGUGCUUAACACAUGCAAGUCGAACGAGAAAGUUCCUUCGGGAACGAGUAAAGUGGCGCACGGGUGAGUAACACGUAGAUAACCUGUCCAGGUGUUCGGGAUAGCCCUUCGAAAGGGGGAUUAAUACCGGAUACGUUAGUUUGUCAUAAGGCAGAUUAAGAAAGGUGGCCUCUAUUUAUAAGCUAUCGCAUUUGGAGGGGUCUGCGUACCAUUAGUUUGUUGGUGGGGUAAUGGCCUACCAAGACUUCGAUGGUUAGCGGGUCUGAGAGGAUGAUCCGUCACACUGGCACUGAAACACGGGCCAGACUCCUACGGGAGGCAGCAGUGAGGAAUAUUGCGCAAUGGGGGAAACCCUGACGCAGCGACGCCGCGUGGGUGAGGAAGGCUUUCGGGUCGUAAAGCCCUGUCAGGUGGGAAGAAAUGUGUAUAGGCUAAUACCCUUUACAUUUGACGGUACCACCAAAGGAAGCACCGGCUAACUCCGUGCCAGCAGCCGCGGUAAUACGGAGGGUGCAAACGUUGUUCGGAAUCACUGGGCGCAAAGGGCGC